AUAUUGGACAAUGGGGGCAACCCUGAUCCAGCGAUGCCGCGUGUGUGAAGAAGGCCUUCGGGUUGUAAAGCACCUUCGGUGGGGACAAACAAGGUGGCGCUAACAUCGCCGCCUCUGAUGGUACCCAAAGAAGAAGCACCGGCUAACUCCGUGCCAGCAGCCGCGGUAAUACGGAGGGUGCGAGCGUUGUCCGGAAUCACUGGGCGUAAAGGGCGCGUAGGCGGCCGGGUAAGUAGGGGGUGAAAUCCCACAGCUCAACUGUGGGGCUGCCCUCUAGACUGCUUGGCUCGAGCACGGUAGAGGCUGGUGGAAUUCCCGGUGUAGCGGUGGAAUGCGUAGAGAUCGGGAAGAACAUCGGUGGCGAAGGCGGCCAGCUGGGCCGUUGCUGACGCUGAGGCGCGAAAGCGUGGGGAGCAAAC
rnacentral:rRNA from 1 species